UACGUAGGGGGCAAGCGUUGUCCGGAAUCAUUGGGCGUAAAGCGCGUGUAGGCGGCCCGGUAAGUCCGCUGUGAAAGUCGGGGGCUCAACCCUCGAAUGCCGGUGGAUACUGUCGGGCUAGAGUGCGGAAGAGGCGAGUGGAAUUCCUGGUGUAGCGGUGAAAUGCGCAGAUAUCGGGAGGAACACCAGUUGCGAAGGCGGCUCUCUGGACCAGCACUGACACUGAGGCACGAAAGCGUGGGGAGCAAACAGG
rnacentral:rRNA from 1 species